UUAUGUGAUGUUAUAUGAUGGAUGAUUUUAAUUUAACUUGAAGUUUUCUUGAUUUGAAUAUAAAAUAGUAUUGGAUUUAAUAUUGAACAAAUAAUUAGGUUGAAAAGGCCCAACAAAUAGAAAAAAACCAAGUUCUGGAACGAAAAGUUGUUGAAUUUAAAAAUGAAAAAAGGCCAAAAUUGAAACUGGACCAAAUGUAUUUGAGCAAUAAAAGGCCGGGACCCAAAUUAUAAGGAUACAAAAAGAAUUUAAAAAAUAUAUAUUAAAGUGGUUGUAAAUAGGUUAAGGGCCAAAAAGAAGCCCAAUAAAAAAAAGCUCAAGAAAAUAAAAUCAGCCCAUGUGAUCAAUUGAAAUGGGUUGGACUGAUUUCAACCUUGACGUUUUGAUUUCAUCGUAAUUUUGCCACGUAGGACUGGGUUAGAUUGCCAAUGAUAAUUUAAGAUCGUCGUAAAGGUUACGACGAUCCAGGAAUCAUCGUAAAAGUUACGACGAUUUCGAUCAAAACGUCGAUGUUGUUCAUUUCUGACGCUCUGUUUUCGACGCUUGGUUUUUCGUCGUAAGAUCGUUGUAAACUAAAAACCGUGACGAUGUAGCGACGAAAAUAUAACGUUGUGUAUUAGCAUAUUCCUUGUAGUGAUUUACAGCAGCUGCUCGUCCUCCUACUUCAUGUCUCCAUCCGCAUGGAAAAGGGCAAGUUAGUUGAAUGGCAUGCACAUGAUAAAACUGCAAGGCAUAUAUAUUUAUCUACAUAAACUGCAUGUGAACACAUGUGAUGAAUUAAUGACUGAAAUCUGUACUGUACUGGUAGGUGUUUAUGCACCAAUAUGUACAUGUAAACACUUCACCGGAUAUUUCCUUCCAAACAUUGUAAGGCAAAGAUAGAUAGUGAUACUACACAUACUGAAGGUAAACCGUAUUGACUUGAAAGCAAUAAAUUGAUUGUAUAUGUUUGCCAACAUAAAAUUCUACUCAAGUUUUCACGCACAUUUACAUGUUCUGAGAUACGGAAUGCAACUGGUUUGUAGAAGAAAGAGAUUAUUUCCUAUGAAAUGCACACCUUAUAAUUAAAUAAAAUCAUUGUUGAGCAAUAGAUAAAAAUAGUAUCUCCUGAGUUGUGACAAUCCUAGAUUGAUAUUAUAGCUUUUCAACUCAUGUUAAAUAAACAUAGCAGAUUACAACACUUGGAAAGGAUAGAGAUUUCUAUUUAUAAAUAGAUAGGAGUAGAGAAAGAAGCACCUCUGAGUGGUACGCUCAUUGCUUGUAUACUUUUAUCUGAUGGGUUGUGCAGCAAGAUGAACCAUUUUCUUUAUCUGAUGGGUUGUGCAGCAAGAUGAACCAUUUUCUUCAGACUCCUCCAAAUAGAGUAUGCAACACCUCCUACUAAAUGUAAUGUAAAAAUGAGAUGCAACUAAAGAGAAGAUACACAAGUAAUGUAAUCAAUUUAAAAACAAAAUUAGCACAUGUGUGCGCCCAUCAAAAGCACAUUCAAAUAUGUACAGACUGGUAAUAUAUAACAGAGCUCAUUCACAUUGAUUUGUACGGCUUCGGUACAACCGUGUCAUUGAAUAUCAAGGAAAUAGUAAAAUAUUGCACAAAGGGAUGAUGCAAUACAUAUCAUGUUUGUAAACAAGUUCACUCUUCCAGAUGCUCAAGUCCUACGCAUGAGAUAACAUGGCAAAGAAUCAACGCGAACAUUCAUUGCGGACCAUGAGAAACAACAGUAUAAAAAAGAGUUCACUUUUUUUUCUUACAGUAUAGGAUAAAUUUAAUAGCUUGUUCAACGGCACCAACCUAAAAGUGCUACCAAAUCUGUGAUGAAAUGAAUAGUAAAAGGAACGCUUCCUUAGAAAGCAAGUCACCAAUUUUUAUCUGUUGUAAAGAGAAAAAAGAACGCUUUCUUAGAAAAAUGAACAAACCCAAAAACAAGCUUUGCACAACCAACUCUUGGUGCCCCUGGAGCGUAACAAGUUCUAUGGGCCUGUAAUGACCAUGAUUUCCAUCGAGUUUUUUCUCUUCUGUAGAUAUGCUCUC
rnacentral:lncRNA from 1 species